GACGAACGCUGGCGGCGUGCCUAAUACAUGCAAGUCGAGCGAACAGACGAGGAGCUUGCUCCUCUGACGUUAGCGGCGGACGGGUGAGUAACACGUGGAUAAUCUACCUAUAAGACUGGGAUAACUUCGGGAAACCGGAGCUAAUACCGGAUAAUAUCUUGAACCACAUGGUUCAAUAGUGAAAGACGGUUUUGCUGUACCUAAUAGAUGGAUCCCUGCCGCUUUGGCUAGUUGGGAAGGUAACGGCUUACCAAGGCAAGGAUGCGUAGCCGACCGGGGAGGUUGAUCGCCCCCCCUGGAACUGAGACACGCUCCAGACUCCUACGGGAGGCACCAGUAGGGAACCUUCCGCAAUGGGCGAAAUCCUGACGGAGCAAGCCCGCGUCAGUUAUGAAGUUCUCCGGUUCGUAAAGCCCUGUUAUUGGGGAAAAACAAAUUUGGAAUUAACUGUGCACGUCGUGACGGUACCUAAUCAGAAAGCCACGGCUAACUACGUG
rnacentral:rRNA from 1 species